rnacentral:sRNA from 1 species
GCCCUGGAGCGCGGCAGUGAUGGCGGGGCCGGUGAAGGACCGCGAGGCCUUCCAGAGGCUCAACUUCCUGUACCAGGGAUCCCUCGGUGAAGAGGACUCUUGUCGAGGCUGCUCUUCCCUCCUCGUCCCAGGCCUCACCUGCACCCAGCGCCAGAGACGCUGCAGGGGACAGCGCUGGACCGUACAGACCUGCCUAACAUGCCAGCGCAGCCAACGCUUCCUCAAUGAUCCCGGGCAUUUACUCUGGGGAGACAGGCCUGAGGCCCAGCUCGGGAGCCAAGCAGAUUCCAAACCACUACAACCCUUGCCAAACACAGCCCACUCCAUUUCAGACCGCCUCCCUGAGGAGAAAAUGCAGACUCAGGGUUCCAGUAACCAGUGAUGGAUUCACCCCAUCUCCCAAAUAAAGUUUACUUGUUUUACAUUCCAUGAUUCUGUUCUGUGGGUAUUUCAACU